ACUCAAAUGAAUUGACGGGGACCCGCACAACCGGUGGAGCGUGUGGUUCAAUUCGAGACAAAGCGAAAAACCUUACCAAGGUUUGACAUGUUACCGUUUUAUACCUAUGGAAACACUGGUAGAUCCGUAAGGAUGGUAACACAGGUGUUGCAUGGCUGUCGUCAGCUCGUGCCGUGAGGUGUUCCCUUAAGUGGGGAAACGAGCGCAACCCUCGUCGAAUGUUAAAUAUUCAUUCGAGACGGUCCCAAUUUUGUUGGGAAGGAAGGCGGGGAAGACGUCAAGUCAGCACGGCCCUUAUACCUUGGGAUACACACACCCUACAAUGGCGAAAAACAACGUGUUGCAAGCAUGUAAAUGCAAGCUAAUCACUCAAAUUUCGCCUCAGUUCAGAUUGAGGUCUGCAACCCGACCUCAUGAAGUCGGAAUCGGUAGUAAUCGCAGAUCAGCAGGCUGCGGUGAAUACGUUCUCGGGUCUUGUACACACCGCCCGU
rnacentral:rRNA from 1 species